CCCAGGAAGGAACCAGGGCAGAGGAAACCACAUCUCCCGAUGCCCCUUGCCCGAGCUGCUGCCCUUUCCUUGAGGAUCAUCCUUCUCCUGCACUGGGCCCCUCAGGUCCCUUUCCCUCCUCUCUGAGAGUGGCACCCCACCACCAUCUCUUAUGUCCCCCCUCCUGACUGUCUACAUCACUGGCUCAGAUGUGGGGUAUGCUCACUCGAUGCGCCUUCCCUCCCCAACCGUACCAUGUGCAGAGGGUGCAGGAGAAGGGCCCUGCCCCAGGCACAUGGCUCUCUGGCUUCUCAGCUCCUCCCCAAGGGCCUGGCUUGCUCAGUUGUCUGAGCCCCUUGGGCAGGUGUUGGGGGACAAGGAGCUGCCCUCCCCCUCCCUGGGAAGCAACAGAAGAAUGUUUACAUUGCCAUACAGAAUGUAACAGCCCUUGCUCACCCCUCCCAGUCACUGCAUGGCCUCUGCCCACCCUGUGCCUGCCCACUCCCCUGACACCAACACUUUGCAAGUCGCUGUCACAACUAGAUGGGGUCUCAGAAGGGAAGUAGCCAUCACACCAUUAAAAAGCCUGUGGACCUU
rnacentral:lncRNA from 1 species